GUUGGGGUAUAAAAACAAAGAAAUGGCUUGUAAGUGCUUGCUAAUUAAGAUGACUUCAGAUUGCAUCGAGGUAGGCAACUAUAGCGAAUACACAGGGGGGAGAAAAAUCAGUCUGCUCCAGAGAAGACAAGAGUUGUAACGUGUACUCUUUUACUCUCAUCAAAACUCUCAUCACCUGGGCAGAGACAUAUCUGGGGGCUGGCAGAUGAUAGGAAGAACGGUGGAUCGCUCCGGAAGAAGCCAACACUGAUAAAGUUUCCGGUCCUUUCCAAACCUUCAAAAGGUUUGUUCGGUACCCAAGCUUUUAAUGACCAGCCCCGAAAUUAGCGCUUUCUGUCAGACCUGCUACCCUUGGCUGUCUUCUGUUCUUUCAUGUGGAACUGGCAACAGCACGCAUGAUGCUCUUUUUGGACAAGGGCUAUUUACUACAGCUCUGUGCAAAAUCUGACUCUUUGUAGAGAACGGCAAAUGACUUAAAGCAGGUUUUAAAUUCCUAGGGCUAAUUUAAACACAUCACAAUCAUUGAAAACUAAUCAUUGAAAUAAUUAAUGAGGAAGCAGCUCAGCAGAGUAUCUUUGGGACAAUCAGGAGUAUUUACUUGUAAAUACUGACAGCUGCUGUAGACCUGUGGAUUUAAUUGUGAAGAUUUGUAUAAUCUUACUAUACGUACUUUACACUGUGUCCUGGGAAAUGCACAACUGAAAAUAAAAAUCACCAGUGAAUGACUUUAAUGUAAAAGGUUACUGAGACAAUAUCAACUCUCAGAAAGCAUUCCUGGUAUCACAGGAGCGUUGAAGGCAGCACGAUGAACAGCUGCACUACCAAACAACAGUAAGACACAAAAGUUUAUUUGUGUGUAAAAAAGAAUGAUAUGAAUGGAAUUUGAGCAGGUCCUUCAGAGCUUCUUUCUGGCUUCAAGACAACCCAUAAUAGUACUAUUCAGAAACUGAGCUCAUUUAGAAAUAUUUUUAUAAUUUCAAAAAGAACAGCCAUAGUACCUGCAGCUCUCUAGGAUGCAUGAACCACCCAAAUCCCCUUCCCAACCCACGUUCCCCUCAGAUGGAUGCUAUCAGCUUCUGCUACAGAGAUGCACCUGUGUCCUAGGAGACCUCCUGACCAACAUAGCCCACAGCAUAUAAGGGACGAUGGGCAGGAAGUACCUUGUGGGUUUCUCUGCUGACGAAGAAGUCAGCAUGGGAUGGUUCUAGAAGCUUGCAGGUAGAUGAGUUUCACAGAGACUAGCUAUUUAGAAGAAUAAUGCCUGGUUUUUGGUAUGUUGUUGUGUCUUUGUAAGUAGGCUUUGUUCUUGGUAACUAAGCUAGAAACACUGAGGAUAAGAAAUGUGCAGAGGAGUUAGAUUUGAAGUUCAGUAGAAGGAAUGUCCACCUAAAGAUUAUGUCUUAUCAAAAGACAUAUUAUGACAGCUUAUGACUUUAAAAUGUCUUAAGUAAAAUGUGUUUUUUUUUUCUAUCAAACAACACUUGGUGAAUGCCUAGAAAACAAGUACCAUUGAAAUGACAACCGCACUAACUAGUAUUUCUGUAGCUGGAGAUAUACAAACAUCACUUUUUUUACUUUGUAACUACUAAGAGAAAGGAGUAUUUGUGAAUUGGAGCCCUGAAUCCAUUUAUCCUCAAGUAUAGGACUAAGGCCUCCUUAGGUACAAAUAAACACCAACUUUGAAUAGAAAUGCACCAUAUAGAUAUAUUAGAAUCUUUGUGGGUAAUUCCUUAAAAGCAAUGUUAUGUUAAAAAGUGACUUUAUAACUGAGUAAUUUGACUGGGUAAGCUCUUUAACACUUUUUUGUAUGUGGUGAUAUGAAGCUACUGACUGGUUACAGUCAAAAUAUAUAAUCAUCCCAAUCAACUACAUCUAUUCCAUUAGAAUAGUAUUUAUCUAGUUAUUUUCUUCAACUUUAGUUGGUGCUCACAGAAUCUCCUCAACUGUUACCUACAAAAGACAGCACUGACUGGAGAUGCUUUAAACUAGUGGUGGGAGGGGAGUCCAUGUGCAUACUACUACAGCAUCAAGUCUGAAAUGCCGUAGUGGUUGCUGAUAAUUCUUGAUUAUGUGGCAGCACUGUGCAAUCAAGUUGAACUGUCUGUUUGGAUCAGCCAGUCUGACUCUGGUGGUCACACUGGAUGAUCAUAAUGGUAUCUCCCAUGAAAUGUUUAGUCUUAACAAAAUUCAAGUAUUUAUUUCCUAACAGUAUUGCUAAAACUUUCCCUUACUGCAAUAAUUUGUAUAUAUUUUGUGUUUCUCUAGCUUGAUCUCAGUACAAGAAUGGAACAGGAAUUCUGGAUGCUUCUAAGGGGGCUUCGUGUCCAGGAUGAGGCUCGCAUCUGCCAGCUGCUAGCACGGCAGGAGAGAGGGCAGAAGCAAUGCACCAUUGCGGCAUGCAGAAAUAUAUCUCUGCAAGAUUAGUAGCCUGUAGAAAGCCCUUACAAUUCCAUUUCAAGUGCGUAUUCCUGCACAAAUAGGAGUAUAGCUUAAGAGAUUUUUGUCCCUUCUGACUGCUGAGGCUGUAGUCUACCUGGAUAUGUUCGAGCCCUGACUCUAGAAACGACCACCCUGCUUUUGCAGUACGAGUUCAAAGCUCUUGGCAGUUACCUACAGCUACCUGUUUCUUAAAUUAGGUAAAAUUCUAUAAAUCAAGGGGAAAUGGAUACUUAAGUGUUCGGAGACCACAGUUACCAUUAUAUGGGAAGAUCCAGUGCCCUGUGGAUCAAGUAUGAUCUGAGUAUUUAAUGGUUAUGGGGUUUGGGCUUUCCUUUACUAGCUCCAACCACAAGAAUCAUAAACGGGGAAGACUGCUUGCAGCAGAUUUUCAGUCUGGCUGAAAGAAAAUGGCUAAAUGAGAAACAAAAUUUUGACCUCAGAUCAGAGUAGGUUUAAAAACCUUAGUGUUAGCUUUUAAUGCAUAUGCUAGGAAAGUAUUUUGUUUAAAAUUAUGGUUUGAAGUAGAUAAAAGCUGUUAUUAAAACCUGACCUGUGGCCAUUGCUGCUGAAAGACAAUCUUCAAAAAUUAAUAUCUGAUAAUUGUAUUGUAACUUUACUUUGUGGUAGAUCCUCUUGUGGUAGACCAGGUCAACAGCUGGCUCUUAAAUGCUUGGAAUUUAAAAAAAAAAAAAAAGCUAAUAAUAUUAACAAUUCUAUUGUUUUCAUUUUUAGUCAGUAUGGUUGAUCCUGUGAAACGCUUAGUAAUUUCACUUCCUAGCAAAGACAGGAUGCUUGGCAGCUUGUGGGAUGGUUUUUAUAAGUUAGACCCAACUGUAAAAAUGAUCGAGUCAGAUUCUGACCCCUCUUAAAUAAGAGCAACAUAUAA